rnacentral:lncRNA from 10 species
ACAAAUGACAGUAGCCUGAAAAAGUGAGGAAGUACAAUGUCAGAUGGUAUAGCCUGGAAAACGACAGUGCACAGAGAGAAAUAAGAUGUACGAGGUUCAUAGAAAAAAUGCGAUUAAAUAACCACACAUGGAGGUUGUAUGAAGAAGAAAUUCACAAAAGAUUCCAACUAUACAUAUAUAGGAGGUAGCAGACACUUUCUCACUACAUACUAUUGUGGACUUCUCAAAUGGAAAAUGACAGGCAUAUCUAUUAGACAGAAUUGAGGCACCAACAUGCAAAUUGUACAGUUGUUCUGGGCAACAAUUUCUUCCUAUGACAAUAACCCUGGAUGUGGGCUCUUGCUGUAAACGACAUCACAAGACCAUCAAGCACUUUCAAGUCCAGCUGAAGUAGAGUGAAAGAAAAUCAUUUCUGAGAGUUAUGAAAGGUCAUGAGUGAGGAAAUGCAUUCCAGGUACUCCCGAAGACAUUUGGACACACACGGUGAAUGACACAUGAAGAUGGAGGCAGAGAUCGGAAUGAUGUAUCUACAAGCGAUGGUCCACCAAAGAUGAUCAGCAAACCACCGGAAGCUGGGACAGAGGUCUGGAACAGAGCCUCCCUCACAUCCCUCAGAAGGAACCAACCCUGCCAGCACCUUAAUCUCACACUUCUAGCCUACAGAAUUCUGAGACAACACAUUUCUGUUGGGGAUACAACUACAUCACUGCAUCAAAUUGAAGGUGAACUCUGCAAUGUGGGGUACACAGAGACACAUAUUAAAUAAACCUUCUACAAGAGUAACCCGUCCAGAAAUGCAGCAAGAGG